rnacentral:rRNA from 1 species
GACGAACGCUGGCGGCGUGCUUAACACAUGCAAGUCGAACGGUGAAGCGCCUUCCUUUUUGGUGGGUGUGGAUGAGUGGCGAACGGGUGAGUAACACGUGAGUAACCUGCCCCCUUCUUCUGGAUAACCGCAUGAAAGUGUGGCUAAUACGGGAUAUUCUGGGUCUGUCGCAUGAUGGGUCUGGGAAAGAUAUUGUUUCGGUGGGGGAUGGGCUCGCGGCCUAUCAGCGUGUUGGUGGGGUGAUGGCCUACCAAGGCUGGGACGGGUAGCCGGCCUGGGAGGGUGGCCGGUCACACUGGGACUGAGACCCGGCUCAGACUCCUACGGGAGGCAGCAGUCGGGAGUAUUGCACAGUGGGCGCAAGCCUGAUGCAGCGACGCCGCGUGAGGGAUGGAGGCCUUCGGGUUGUGAACCUCUUUCGCCAGUGAAGCAGGCCUGCCUCGUUUGUGGGUGGGUUGACGGUAGCUGGAUAAGAAGCGCCGGCUAACUACGUG